rnacentral:rRNA from 1 species
GUUGGUAGGGUAAUGGCCUACCAAGGCGACGACGGGUAGGGGGCCUGAGAGGGUGAUCCCCCACAUUGGCACUGACACACGGGCCAAACUCCUACGGGAGGCAGCAGUGAGGAAUAUUGAGCAAUGGGCGAAAGCCAGACUCAGCAACGCCGCGUGGACGAUGAAGGCCUUCGGGUCGUAAAGUCCUUUUCAGGGGGACGAGAGAGGACGGUACCCCUGGAAUAAGUCACGGCUAACUACGUGCCAGCAGCCGCGGUAAAACGUAGGUGGCAAGCGUUAUCCGGAUUCAUUGGGCGUAAAGCGCCUGCAGGCGGUUCUGUAAGUGGGAUGUGAAAUCUCCCGGCUCAACUGGGAGGGGCCAUUCCAUACUGCAGAACUUGAGGGCAGAAGAGGGAAGCGGAAUUCCCGGUGUAGUGGUGAAAUGCGUAGAUAUCGGGAGGAACACCAGUGGCGAAGGCGGCUUCCUGGUCUGCUCCUGACGCUAAGAGGCGAAAGCUAGGGGAGCGAACGGGAUUAGAAACCCCGGUAGUCCUAGCCGUGAACGAUGGAUGCUAGGUGUAGGUGGUCCUAACCCCAUCUGUGCCGAAGCUAACGCGUUAAGCAUCCCGCCUGGGGACUACGGCCGCAAGGUUAAAACUCAAAGGAAUUGACGGGGGCCCGCACAAGCAGCGGAGCGUGUGGUUUAAUUCGAUCUACACGAAGAACCUUACCCAGGUUUGACAUGCAGGUAGUAGUGAAGCGAAAGCGGAACGACCCUUCGGGGAGCCUGCACAGGUGCUGCAUGGCUGUCGUCAGCUCGUGCCGUGAGGUGUUUGGUUAAGUCCAGUAACGAGCGCAACCCCUGUUGUCAGUUACGUGUGUCUGACGAGACAGCCGGUCUUAAGCCGGAGGAAGGUGGGGAUGACGUCAAGUCAGCAUGGCCUUUAUAUCUGGGGCUACACACACGCUACAAUGGCCAGUACAAUGGGUCGCCAACCCGCGAGGGGGAGCCAAUCCUAAAAAGCUGGUCUCAGUUCGGAUUAGAGGCUGCAACCUGCCUCUAUGAAGUCGGAGUUGCUAGUAAACGCAGGUCAGCCAUACUGCGUUGAAUACGUUCCCGGGCCUUGUACACACCGCCCGUCACGUCAUGGGAGCUGGUAACACCUGAAGCCGGUGAGCUAACCGCAAGGAAGCAGCCGUCGAGGGUGGGACUGGUGACUGGGACGAAGUCGUAACAAGGUAGCUGUAGCGGCUGCGGCUGG